GAGCGCGCCCCUGAUAAUUGCGGGGCGAGGUCUCUGGUUCAAGUCCAGGAUGGCCCA
rnacentral:tRNA from 4 species